CAAGUGCCAAAGCAAAUCUGCUGACAUCUAAUCUGAUUGGUCUGUGCCUAAGUUCUACAAACUGCAUCUGGUUUAUGUCCUAGUUUUCCUGGGAAAUAUCCAAAAAAGUCUGCAAGAAUAAACCUAAAAGUGAUAAACAAAACAAUUCUUAAUUUGAAGAGUUGCUUCAUUUCACUGAGUAGAAGAUUUUAAUAAUGCUGCUGUUCAAGUACUUGUCUACCAUAGAAAUAUUGUGAAGAAAAAUUACUGUGAGUAAAUUUUCUGAGAAAAUUAAUUAGUUUUCUCGUGGUUUGUUCCUUGAUCCAUUGUAUUCCACAUGAGUAUUGUUGACAGUCUGUGGAAAGAUAUGGUUCUUGCUUCAGUGUAAUAAAAUAAAAAUCUUCCUUUGGUAU
rnacentral:lncRNA from 1 species